rnacentral:sRNA from 3 species
AUAUCUCUCCGUACGGGAAGGAUGAGAAGCUUCGACUAAGGUUCGAUUCGAGCGAAAGCGAGAAAGCGUUGCCGCAGGCAACGACCCGAAGGGCGAAGCGCGCAGCGCUGAGUAAUCCUUCCCCCACCACCA